rnacentral:rRNA from 1 species
UACGUAGGGUGCGAGCGUUGUCCGGAGUUACUGGGCGUAAAGAGCUCGUAGGCGGUUUGUCGCGUUGUUCGUGAAAACUCACAACUCAAUUGUGGGCGUGCGGGCGAUACGGGCAGACUGGAGUACUGCAGGGGAGACUGGAAUUCCUGGUGUAGCGGUGAAAUGCGCAGAUAUCAGGGGGAACACCGGUGGCGAAGGCGGGUCUCUGGGCCGAUACUGACGCUGAGGAGCGAAAGCGUGGGGAGCGAACAGG